GACGAACGCUGGCGGCGUGCUUAACACAUGCAAGUCGAACGGAAAGGCCCUGCUUUUGUGGGGUGCUCGAGUGGCGAACGGGUGAGUAACACGUGAGUAACCUGCCCUUGACUUUGGGAUAACUUCAGGAAACUGGGGCUAAUACCGGAUAGGAGCUCCUGCUGCACGGUGGGGGUUGGAAAGUUUCGGCGGUUGGGGAGGGGCUCGCGGCUUAUCAGCUUGUUUGUGGGGUAGUGGCUUACCAAGGCUUUGACGGGUAGCCGGCCUGAGAGGGUGACCGGCGACCUUGGGACUGAGGUACGGCCCAGACUGCUACGGGAGGCAGCAGUGGGAAAUAUUGCACAAUGGGCGGAAGCCUAAUGAAGCAACGCCGCGUGUGGGAUGACGGCCUUCGGGUUGUAAACCGCUUUCGCCUGUGACGAAGCGUGAGUGACGGUAAUGGGUAAAGAAGCACCGGCUAACUACGUG
rnacentral:rRNA from 1 species